rnacentral:rRNA from 1 species
UGUUGGCUUAGAAGCAGCCAUCAUUUAAAGAAAGCGUAAUAGCUCACUGGUCGAGUCGGCCUGCGCGGAAGAUGUAACGGGGCUAAACCAUGCACCGAAGCUGCGGCAGCGACACUGUGUGUUGUUGGGUAGGGGAGCGUUCUGUAAGCCUGUGAAGGUGUGUCGUGAGGCAUGCUGGAGGUAUCAGAAGUGCGAAUGCUGACAUAAGUAACGAUAAAGCGGGUGAAAAGCCCGCUCGCCGGAAGACCAAGGGUUCCUGUCCAACGUUAAUCGGGGCAGGGUGAGUCGACCCCUAAGGCGAGGCCGAAAGGCGUAGUCGAUGGGAAACGGGUUAAUAUUCCCGUACUUGGUGUUACUGCGAAGGGGGGACGGAGAAGGCUAUGUUGGCCGGGCGACGGUUGUCCCGGUUUAAGCGUGUAGGUGUGUGUUCCAGGUAAAUCCGGUUCACUUUAACACUGAGGCGUGACGACGAGGCACUACGGUGCUGAAGCAACAAAUGCCCUGCUUCCAGGAAAAGCCUCUAAGCAUCAGGUAACAUCAAAUCGUACCCCAAACCGACACAGGUGGUCAGGUAGAGAAUACCAAGGCGCUUGAGAGAACUCGGGUGAAGGAACUAGGCAAAAUGGUGCCGUAACUUCGGGAGAAGGCACGCUGACACGUAGGUGAAGUGAUUUACUCAUGGAGCUGAAGUCAGUCGAAGAUACCAGCUGGCUGCAACUGUUUAUUAAAAACACAGCACUGUGCAAACACGAAAGUGGACGUAUACGGUGUGACGCCUGCCCGGUGCCGGAAGGUUAAUUGAUGGGGUCAGCGCAAGCGAAGCUCCUGAUCGAAGCCCCGGUAAACGGCGGCCGUAACUAUAACGGUCCUAAGGUAGCGAAAUUCCUUGUCGGGUAAGUUCCGACCUGCACGAAUGGCGUAAUGAUGGCCAGGCUGUCUCCACCCGAGACUCAGUGAAAUUGAACUCGCUGUGAAGAUGCAGUGUACCCGCGGCAAGACGGAAAGACCCCGUGAACCUUUACUAUAGCUUGACACUGAACAUUGAGCCUUGAUGUGUAGGAUAGGUGGGAGGCUUUGAAGUGUGGACGCCAGUCUGCAUGGAGCCGACCUUGAAAUACCACCCUUUAAUGUUUGAUGUUCUAACGUGGACCCGUUACCCGGGUUGCGGACAGUGUCUGGUGGGUAGUUUGACUGGGGCGGUCUCCUCCUAAAGAGUAACGGAGGAGCACGAAGGUUGGCUAAUCCUGGUCGGACAUCAGGAGGUUAGUGCAAUGGCAUAAGCCAGCUUGACUGCGAGCGUGACGGCGCGAGCAGGUGCGAAAGCAGGUCAUAGUGAUCCGGUGGUUCUGAAUGGAAGGGCCAUCGCUCAACGGAUAAAAGGUACUCCGGGGAUAACAGGCUGAUACCGCCCAAGAGUUCAUAUCGACGGCGGUGUUUGGCACCUCGAUGUCGGCUCAUCACAUCCUGGGGCUGAAGUAGGUCCCAAGGGUAUGGCUGUUCGCCAUUUAAAGUGGUACGCGAGCUGGGUUUAGAACGUCGUGAGACAGUUCGGUCCCUAUCUGCCGUGGGCGCUGGAGAACUGAGGGGGGCUGCUCCUAGUACGAGAGGACCGGAGUGGACGCAUCACUGGUGUUCGGGUUGUCAUGCCAAUGGCACUGCCCGGUAGCUAAAUGCGGAAGAGAUAAGUGCUGAAAGCAUCUAAGCACGAAACUUGCCCCGAG